UCGUAGUGGUUUCCCCUUGCCUUGUACGC
rnacentral:sRNA from 1 species